rnacentral:rRNA from 1 species
CACGUAGGGCGCAAGCGUUGUCCGGAAUUAUUGGGCGUAAAGAGCUCGUAGGCGGUCUGUUGCGUCCGCUGUGAAAACCCGGGGCUUAACCCCUGGCUUGCAGUGGAUACGGACAGACUAGAGGUAGGUAGGGGAGAAUGGAAUUCCCGGUGUAGCGGUGAAAUGCGCAGAUAUCGGGAGGAACACCGGUGGCGAAGGCGGUUCUCUGGGCCUUACCUGACGCUGAGGCGCGAAGGCGUGGGGAGCGAACGGG